rnacentral:rRNA from 1 species
ACGAACGCUGGCGGCGUGCUUAACACAUGCAAGUCGAACGGUGAACCAGGGCUUGCCUUGGGGAUCAGUGGCGAACGGGUGAGUAACACGUGGGCAACCUGCCCCAGACUCUGGGAUAACUCCGGGAAACCGGGGCUAAUACCGGAUACGAAUCGAGUUGGCAUCUUCUCGAUUGGAAAGUUUUUCGGUCUGGGAUGGGCCCGCGGCCUAUCAGCUUGUUGGUGGGGUAAUGGCCUACCAAGGCGACGACGGGUAGCCGGCCUGAGAGGGCGAACGGCCACACUGGGACUGAGACACGGCCCAGACUCCUACGGGAGGCAGCAGUGGGGAAUAUUGCGCAAUGGGCGAAAGCCUGACGCAGCGACGCCGCGUGAGGGACGACGGCCUUCGGGUUGUAAACCUCUUUCAGCAGGGAUGAAGCGAAAGUGACAGUACCUGCAGAAGAAGCACCGGCUAACUACGU